GACGAACGCUGGCGGCGUGCUUAACACAUGCAAGUCGAACGAAGUGGAGAACGGGUGAGUAACGCGUAGUAAACCUGCCCUUUAGAGGGGGACAACAGUUGGAAACGACUUCUAAUACCGAAUACUGCAGGAGGGGGUUGCGUCGAAUUAGAUCGUUGGAGAGGUAACGGCCGACCAAGGCGAUGAUGAGUAGCCGUGCUGAGAGAAUGACCGGCCACAUGGGGACUGAGACACGGCCCAAACUCCUACGGGAGGCAGCAGUAGGGAAUAUUCGACAAUGGACGAAAGCCUGAUCGAGCAAGGCCGCGUGAGUGAAGAAGGUCUUCGGAUUGUAAAGCACUUUAGUUGGUGAGCGGUACCCAAACAGAAAGCACCGGCUAACUACGUGCCAGCAGCCGCGGUAAUAC
rnacentral:rRNA from 1 species